rnacentral:rRNA from 1 species
CCCUUAGAUGUUCUGGGCUGCACGCGCGCUACACUGAUGCGAUCAACAAGUUUUUCCUAUGUCGAUAGACACGGGUAAUCUUUUGAACUCGCAUCGUGAUGGGGAUAGAUUAUUGUAAUUAUUAAUCUUCAACGAGGAAUUCCUAGUAGGUGCAAAUCAUCAGUUUGCAUCGAUUACGUCCCUGCCCUUUGUGCACACCGCCCGUCGCUGCUACCGAUUGGUUGAUCUGGUGAAUUAUUCGGACUGCCGGCUGAAGGGGUUUCCUCAUCUGCCAGCGGAAAGUCUUGUUAACCCUAUCAACUAGAGGAAGCAGAAGUCGUAACA